AACGAACGCUGGCGGCAUGCCUAACACAUGCAAGUCGAACGAGACCUUCGGGUCUAGUGGCGCACGGGUGCGUAACGCGUGGGAACCUGCCCUUAGGUUCGGAAUAACUCCCCGAAAGGGGUGGUAAUACCGGAUAAUGUCUUCGGACCAAGGAUUUAUCGCCUUUGGAUGGGCCCGCGUUGGAUUAGCUAGUUGGUAGGGUAAAAGCCUACCAAGGCGACGAUCCAUAGCUGGUCUGAGAGGAUGAUCAGCCACACUGGGACUGAGACACGGCCCAGACUCCUACGGGAGGCAGCAGUGGGGAAUAUUGGACAAUGGGCGAAAGCCUGAUCCAGCAAUGCCGCGUGAGUGAUGAAGGCCUUAGGGUUGUAAAGCUCUUUUACCCGGGAUGAUAAUGACAGUACCGGGAGAAUAAGCUCCGGCUAACUCCGUG
rnacentral:rRNA from 1 species